rnacentral:rRNA from 1 species
UACGUAGGGUGCGAGCGUUAAUCGGAAUUACUGGGCGUAAAGCGUGCGCAGGCGGUUUUGUAAGCCAGAUGUGAAAGCCCCGGGCUUAACCUGGGAAUGGCAUUUGGGACUGCAAGGCUAGAGUGCGGCAGAGGAGACUGGAAUUCCUGGUGUAGCAGUGAAAUGCGUAGAUAUCAAGUGGAACACCAGUGGCGAAGGCGAGUCUCUGGACAUUUCCUGACGCUGAGGCACGAAAGCCAGGGGAGCAAACGGG